GAUGAACGCUGGCGACGUGCCUAAUACAUGCAAGUCGAGCGAACGGACGAGAAGCUUGCUUCUCUGAUGUUAGCGGCGGACGGGUGAGUAACACGUGGAUAACCUACCUAUAAGACUGGGAUAACUUCGGGAAACCGGAGCUAAUACCGGAUAAUAUUAUGAACCGCAUGGUUCAAAAGUGAAAGACGGUCUUGCUGUCACUUAUAGAUGGAUCCGCGCUGCAUUAGCUAGUUGGUAAGGUAACGGCUUACCAAGGCAACGAUGCAUAGCCGACCUGAGAGGGUGAUCGGCCACACUGGAACUGAGACACGGUCCAGACUCCUACGGGAGGCAGCUGUAGGGAAUCUUCCGCAAUGGGCGAAAGCCUGACGGAGCAACGCCGCGUGAGUGAUGAAGGUCUUCGGAUCGUAAAACUCUGUUAUUAGGGAAGAACAUAUGUGUAAGUAACUGUGCACAUCUUGACGGUACCUAAUCAGAAAGCCACGGCUAACUACGUG
rnacentral:rRNA from 1 species